UUUCUUCCUGCCAGAGCAUUAGCUUAGAUAAUUUCAAGAAUUCUAUAAUUCUACAACAGAGGUUUUAGACCUCAAUUUGGCCUAAAAGUCAGGUCAUGCCACACAUGUCUGGUUGCCCUAGAAAAUAUAUUUUUAAACUAUAUAGUUGCAUAUGAUUGCAAGCACAAUGUAUAGAUAACAGUUUUAAUGCAAACCAGAAGUUCUUGUCAUCCAGGUUUUGUGUAUGGGAUGGUAUGGCCACCUAAAAACUUUUUUAAUUUAAUCCUGUUAUUAGUAUAACUAUGUUUAAAUGUUAUACAUAGUAAUCAAG